rnacentral:rRNA from 1 species
ACUGAACGCUGGCGGCAUGCCUUACACAUGCAAGUCGAACGGCAGCGGACCUUCGGGUGCCGGCGAGUGGCGAACGGGUGAGUAAUGCAUCGGAACGUACCUUUCAGUGGGGGAUAACGUAGCGAAAGUUACGCUAAUACCGCAUAUUCUGUGAGCAGGAAAGCAGGGGAUCGCAAGACCUUGCGCUGAUUGAGCGGCCGAUGUCAGAUUAGCUAGUUGGUGAGGUAAAGGCUCACCAAGGCGACGAUCUGUAGCGGGUCUGAGAGGAUGAUCCGCCACACUGGAACUGCGACACGGUCCAGACUCCUACGGGAGGCAGCAGUGGGGAAUUUUGGACAAUGGGGGCAACCCUGAUCCAGCCAUGCCGCGUGAGUGAAGAAGGCCUUCGGGUUGUAAAGCUCUUUCGGCCGGGAAGAAAUCGCACGGGCUAAUACCCUGUGUGGAUGACGGUACCGGAAUAAGAAGCACCGGCUAACUACGUGCCAGCCGCCGCCGUAAAAC